GUUUGAUCCUGGCUCAGAACGAACGCUGGCGGCGUGCCUAACACAUGCAAGUCGUACGAGAAAUCCUGGGCAACCGGGAGAGUAAAGUGGCGCACGGGUGAGUAACGCGUGGGUAACCUACCCUUGAAUUGGGGAUAACUCUUCGAAAGGGGAGUUAAUACCGAAUAAUAUUCCAAUUUCUACGGGAGUUGGAAUCAAAGAUGGCCUCUGCAUGCAAGCUAUCGUUUAAGGAUGGGCCCGCGUACCAUUAGCUAGUUGGCAGGGUAAUGGCCUACCAAGGCAACGAUGGUUAGCUGGUCUGAGAGGAUGGCCAGCCACACUGGAACUGAGACACGGUCCAGACUCCUACGGGAGGCAGCAGUGGGGAAUCUUGCGCAAUGGGGGAAACCUUGACGCAGCAACGCCGCGUGGGUGAUGAAGGCCUUCGGGUCGUAAAGCCCUGUCAGGUGGGAAGAAACUCGUGGAUAUUAAUACUACCCACGCUUGACGGUACCACCGGAGGAAGCACCGGCUAACUCCGUGCCAGCAGCCGCGGUAA
rnacentral:rRNA from 1 species